rnacentral:rRNA from 1 species
CCUACGGGUGGCAGCAGUGGGGAAUAUUGCACAAUGGGGGACACCCUGAUGCAGCGACGCAGCGUGAGUGAAGAAGUAUUUCGGUAUGUACAGCUCUAUCAGCAGGGAAGCAAAUGACGGUACCUGAUUAAGAAGCACCGGCUAACUACGUGCCCACAGCCGCGGUAGUACGUAGGGGGCAAGCGUUAUCCGGAUUUACUGGGUGUAAAGGGAGCGUCGACGGCAGUCCAAGUCUGGAGUGAAAUGCCGGGGCUUAACCCCGGAAAUGCUUUGGAAACUGUGCAGCUAGAGUGCAGGAGAGGUAAGUGGAAUUCCUAGUGUAGCGGGGAAAUGCGUAGAUAUGAGGAGGAACACCAGUGGCGAAGGCGGCUUACUGGACUGUAACUGACGUUGAGGCUCGAAAGCGUGGGGAGCAAACAGGAUUAGAUACCCUAGUAGUC